UUCUAUCGCCCAAUCAAUACCGAUAAGCCAGAUUUUAAUGACUAAUUUAACCCUAAUUACUUCGUUUUGCUUUGUUUAUUUUGUUAUUAACCAGCACAAUCCAAGGCAGAUAAGCAAUAUUAUAGAUGUGAUCUACAAGUGGACCACCGUUCAUUAUGCUCGUCGAUAUUAACACUAUUUAAUGUACAUAAUAUAAUAUCAGAAUUACAGUGCAAAGCUGUUUACACUCUUUACAGUCACAUACAUGAAAGUAGUUCUGAAAGAUGAACGAUUUUAUUCAUUAAUUAAAGGGACAUGUUCAAUUUCAAAUUUAAAGAAGACGAGUGAGAAAUGAGUAUGUGAGUUUGAGAUGAUGUUUUCAGUUUUGAUUCGCCCCUUUCCUAUGUAACCUAUUUUACGAGCGAAUGUUUUGUACCUUCAAUAUUCUUGAUUUUUCUUAAAAGCAAGAAUGAUUGGCGCUAGGUGGUCACACUAAGGAUUUUUGCACCAUAGCAGAGAAUAUUUAUAUCUGGUGUGACGAUGAUACUUGUUUAUAGAAUUCUUUAGAAUGUCCCCUUUGAAAUUUUAGAUUGGUAAACGUAUUAUAGGUGUCAUUUAUAUUAAAAUUUUAUGUUAUUACCCAACAGUUACGAUAUUUCUGCGUUUUUGUUACAGAAUUUUAGACAACGAAGUAUUUAUAAAUCAGAUUAGCUUAUUAUAUUUGUUGUAGUUAUGACAUUUGUGUAAAGACAGUGCCACUAAUGCAAACAAGGUUGAGAUGGAAUAGGAUUUACGUUUGCGAGAUAAAAGUAUUAUUGUUUCGCUCUUAUCAGCGGUAAGCCGAUGAAAUUGAAAAUAAUUAAAAGAUAGAAUUCGCAACAAAAAUAUUAAUUUUGUUAUUACCAGGCAAUAUUCGGAUUUUCGACAAAAGUGUUGGAAUUCGCCCAGAUUCUCAACACUGGACAGAUUCAAAAAAUGGCCGCGGCAAUGGAUCAUGACACGAAAAGACAGAUUGUAAAAGGAAAAGACUUAUUGCUGGUCGGACUAUCAAUACACCGUCUGUAAAUCAUAAUAUUGUAAAUAAAAAACGUAAACGUCGUAAAAAGUAAAACGUCGGUGACGAAGCUUUUUCACACAACGAAAUGUUUUCUACUCUGUAAACGGCGUAAUAUUUGGUAACCA